rnacentral:lncRNA from 7 species
GAUGAACAGCUUGCAAGUUAAGGUCACAAAUCCAUGAUCAUCUCUCAACAAAAAAAGAGUAUCUAACACGUCAUUAGACAGAAGCUACCAACUGUUUGACCUGAUCUUAAACAUGGAUUCAUCUCUAACAAAGAUCAUGUUAUUAAGGAAUAUCAUCUAUCAGAAGAGCCUUCAGCACCUCGGAAGGUGUGUGUUGUCUGUCUUCUCUGGGGUAUCAAAGUGAUUCUUCUCCAACCACAAGGAAGACAGCAGAUCAGUUCAAGGGCAAGGAUACUCAGGCCCAGAGUCAAUUCCCCUCAUCAAGGAACUUGUCACACUAGUUAUUAUUGAAAGCUACCUAUAAGAAAGUUUGAUAGCUCUUACAGAUACUUGCGCAUCAGGUGUUUUUGUUGCUCAUUUCCAGCUUACUCUGAGAAGAUUGCUCUCAUAAGGACCUGAAUCAAUGGUACCAGAUGAUUGUAUUGUGAAGGCCAGGUGCAGGAAAGAUACCAGAUUUGUGACUCUGAGGAACUUGGACAAAACGGGUGUACCCAUGGUUAUGGAUAUGGAAGUCUGGAUUCUACACAUGCUUUAUCCUGCUUUCUAGCAAGUAACAAAUAACCCAAAUAAGAUGAAUAGGUACUGAAGUGAACCUGACCUUAAGAUCCUCUGAUGGAUUUAGAAACUGGAAAAUGCUACCAGAAGAUACUGCCACAGUUUUUUAUUUGCAGUUGUGUAAAAUACUUAUUUAUAAUAGUUCCAUGUACCUGAGGGUAGGAACUUUCUCGGUUCUCUGUGGGCUUAAGACAGGUGCACUUUUGUGGUGAAGACCACUUCUGGCAUCUUAUUUGCCUGGUAUUGUGGGUACAAAAUAAAGCAACUCUGUUGGCCUGACGUGAAUUUCUUUUCUAUCUUCAUAGAAAAAAAUGACCAGACUAAACAAAAUAUGUGUUAAUUUCCAAGUUUUGCUAGAGAACUUUGACAGAAAGCUGUUCUUUCAAGAACAAGCUAGCAGCUAACACAAAUGGUAUGAGCAUGGAAAUGGGGCUAGAGUGGUGGAGAUCAUUCUCACAAGGCACUGUGUGUCAAAGAUUCACUGAAUUUUGGUUGGUGAAACAUGUUUUCUCUAAAUCACUUAAUACAAUCUACUUUCAUUGUGAGCAUGUGAGAAACAGAUUUAGCCUCUUGACCUCCAUGGCUUGGAACAGCCUGUGACAAUAACUUAAACUCUAAGGUAGAGAGAGCACUGGACUUCCUAGCAGCACAGAGCUCUAGCUACAAGGAAGUACACUGUGUGUGCUUUCUCUGAAGUGCAUGAUUGGGUCUGGAGAGAGACACUUUGACACAGACUGCUUUUGAGAACAGAUUGUAAAAGGCUUUGUUUCCAUUCCACUGCAAAAUGGCAAAAUACUUCAAAAUAUUGAAUAGUGUCAGGAAAUGGGCUUUCAACCUUUAGUUAAGCUUCCGUCAUCCCACUGCUCCAUUCAGAUUAAAUUAUUUUGAACAAAUAUUUUCAGGAGAACAGAGAAAAUAUAAAAAGUACUAUGUAAUACAUAGAAUGUUGUUCCAUAUGUCAGUGCUGUUUUACUUGUUAUACUCACUGUUAAGUUUAUGAGCAUCUUAUUGUUAUACAGCAUGAUGAAAAUGAAUUCUAAAUAGAGUAUCAAAAUUAAAAACAUAUGAUGUCUGUUGAC